rnacentral:rRNA from 1 species
AGAACGAACGCUGGCGGCAGGCUUAACACAUGCAAGUCGAGCGCCCAGCAAUGGGAGCGGCGGACGGGUGCGUAACACGUGGGAACAUGCCUUUCGGUACGGAACAACUGCGGGAAACUGCAGCUAAUGCCGUAUACGCCCUUACGGGGAAAGAUUUAUCGCCGAAAGAUUGGCCCGCGUCUGAUUAGCUAGUUGGUGAGGUAACGGCUCACCAAGGCUUCGAUCAGUAGCUGGUUUGAGAGAACGACCAGCCACACUGGGACUGAGACACGGCCCAGACUCCUACGGGAGGCAGCAGUGGGGAAUCUUGGACAAUGGAGGAAACUCUGAUCCAGCCAUGCCGCGUGAGUGAUGAAGGCCUUCGGGUUGUAAAACUCUUUUACCGGAAGAUAAUGACUGUACCGGGAGAAUAAGCUCCGGCUAACUUCGCGCCAGCAGCCGC